AGCCAGUUCACCUCCUGCUGCCUAAUGAAUGCAGAACUCUGAGCUCCUCCACCACCAUGUCUGUCUGCGUGCUACCAUGUUUCCUAAGAUGAUAAUGGACUAAACCUCUGAACCUGUAAGCCAGCCCCAAUUAAAUGUUCUCCUUUGUAAGGGUUGCCGGGAUCGUGGUAUCUGUUCACAGCAAUAGAAACUCCACCCUUAGCAGGAGCAAGGAAUCCAGGUCAACUUCUGGAACUGAGCUAGCAAAAAUGCUAUUAGCUACAGCAGUGGUGACCCCUGGCUGGCCCUGGGAGUGUGAGCCUUUCAUUCGACUCUGGAGAGACCCGAGAGUACACUUCCAGCAACUCUGGACCAAGGAAUUCCAGCCUUCCCCCACCUACCAAGAUUUGUAAAAAAUAGACUUUAUCUGGACGUGGAGACAAGCCUCCCUAAGGAACCACCCAUAGGACCUAGGUGCCAAGAAUUCCCAGUAUCUUCCCGUUCAAUUCUGUCCCGUGAACUUCUUCCGGUCCCAUUUGCCAUCUUUCAUCGAAGCCGUCGCCUGGAGAAUCUGCCUGGCCAGACACAUGAUCAUCCCACAGACCUUGAGGCCAUAUGCUCCUGUCCCAUCUCUGGUUUGUGGGGUGAUUUCUGAUCUGCAUUGUGACUCCUAAGCAACCAGCCAUGCACCCUGGAUCCCCUGCAGCCCCUGGGGUCUCUGAGCCUGGACCCCGAGAGCUGUGUGCCUUUGUGAGUGGGGCUUCGGCCCACAUGCUGCGGGCCCUGCAACCCAGGCGUAUUCGGCCCUCCAAACGCAGACCCAACCACCGGAGGUUUCUACACAACCAGAUCUGCAGGUAAGUGGUGCUGGGAAGAGGCACAGGGUGGACACCGGGAAAACCUCAGGCUGAUUUUAG
rnacentral:lncRNA from 1 species